UGACUUGGACUAUGAUGUGUUGCCUUCGCAAAGCAUUGUGUGGCCAUCCAUUGUCUUUCUGAUAGUGCUUCAAACAGGACUGUAAUGUUAUCUUGUUUGGCGUAGCAUAACAUAAUGUUGCCUCAAGAGCUUCCAAUCUCCGAAUAAGGCUGUGUUGUACAGCACAGAGUGGAGUGGUGUCAAAUAGAAAAUAAGAAAUGCACUGAAGAGGAGGAAAGAAAAUGAAAGCAAAAAAGCUGAAGAAUGGGGAAAAGAUAAAGUAAUAUGAAUAUUAGGAUUCCACUGGGGAAAAAAGCGAUGAUGGGGGCAGUGAUGAUGAAAGGAGCACAUUCCUGACAACUGGAGACCAUGCUGUUUUGCUAAAAAUGAACACUGAUCUUCUCAGGGAACAAUACAAUACCGACUAAAUCAGCAUACAUAGAUGUGUCUUAGGGCGUGGUUCCUUUCAAGGCCCUUGGAAGAAUGCCAGGCAGCAGAGAGAGAAAACAGAAGUGUGAAAUACUACUGUGCAUCAGAACAUCCUUAAAAUGAACAUCAUGUAUUCUCAGCUUUGAGAACUGAAUUCCAUGAGUUGUAAUUGAAUCUCUGUCAGACCCAUGGGGCUCAGUUCUUCAGCUUGGAUAUCUCUGUCUUCACAUACACAGGAAAUCAAAGAACCACUUGAUCAUUCAUUGACUCUUCUGGAUGGCAGUAGCAGAAAACGGGAAAGAAAAAGAAUAAAUGAUGUGAUAAUUUUUGGCAGAGAGGUUUCAUUUCAGGGGCUAGUUUCUUUUAUGUUAAAUAAUUAUGUAAAGGGUGAAUCUUCCAAAAGAAACCUCUACCUCAUUGCCCCUUUAUUGCUGUUCACCAUUUCACCCCCACUCCAUCUUAUUUAGAGAUCUAUGUUUAUCUUUUCUGAUUGAUUCUAUUAUACUCCCUACUUCAUGUCUUAUGUGGAUGAGGGUGUUGUGCUCUUUAAAACACCUGCCAUGUUCUGCACGAAAAGUUUCUGUGGUGAAAUCAAUGAGUGUUUAGCAUCUACAGGCUUGGUACUGCAACCACUUCCUUACAAGCAGCUCCACUGUAGUCACUGGGUUGGAUGCCAUUGGUCAUGGCCUUUCCUCUCUGGAGAUGUGACCAAAAUCAUAAUCUGAGCUCACAAGUGAAAAUGAAUUUGGUAGCUUGCUCCAAAUCUAUAUUCCAGCUCACCCCCUCCCUCCCAAAUUAUACUUUCUCUGCAGUGGAUCAUGACAUCGCUUUUGUCACCAUGAUGCAACAUUCUUAAACGUACACAUGCAUAAAGUCAGUGGUGUCAGAAACCUAAAUGUUCAGAAUUUGGGAUAGGUUCAGAUAAGCAUCCUAAAGCAUAGUUAAAAACUAUCCAAUUGCAUUCUUUUUCUUUUAAUGGAUUACAUUUACAUUAAAAAUGAAAAGAAGCUGUAACUGCUGCCAUGGAAACAUGCAUGAAUUCACAUUGAUGCCCUUUUCAGAGAGAUUUAUAUUCUAAGGAUGGAUAGGUUUCUCAGUGACUGAAGUGUACUGUAGUUACCAGUCUAAAGACACACACACACACAGACAGACAGACAGAGUGUUUCAUUUCCUGCCUAGCAGAGGACCUGAAAUUUUAGGUCAGUGAUAUGAGAAGAUUCUACAAAAGCAGAGGAGGAAAGAGAUUAUUAACUCAAUAUCUAAUGCGCAGGCAACACUUAAAUUAAUCUUUUUUUUUAAAGCUGAAGGCAAAAAAUGCCUGGAUUUCCUUCACUAACAGGCACAGCUUUGUGUGCCGAGCCAGGUCAGCUGAUGUACUGUGCAAUGCUAAACCACACAGGAUGGUUGACAAAGUCAAGAACAGUCUUUGAUGCAAAAAAGUUGUUGCAGUCAUGUUUCUUCCAGUGCAGUUCCUGGUGUGUGGCUUAAGUGAUGUUUUCACCAGAAAAAAAAAAGUAAGUGCAUGGACUAAAGCUGACACUAUGGAAAUUAGCUCAAACUGUACAUUAAGGAUUUAGCAAAUUGUAAGUGGGAUACAGCCACCAAAAAUUGGGAUUGUUUCCUGCAGGAGUGUACAAUAACAUUUGUAUAGCCCCUUCCUACCAAAGGCCUCCAUCUACUUUACAGACGUUAAAGUGAAGUAUUGCUGGAUAGGAUCAUACAGAUUAAAACUCACUAUCAAGCAUCACACUCUAGUAGUGUACUCACCUUGUAGUACACUCUUUCUACUCUUCCACCCACACCAUGACUUUACUACUACCAAGAGUACUAUAUACUACAGACCAUGCACCACAACAUUAUGUCUGCCCCACAGAGAUACCAGCCUUCCAUCACCUUGCAGUAUUAAGGUAUGUAUCAGUGGGGAGAAUAAUGCAGGCUAUUAUGCCCUGUAAAGUGGCUUACCUUUUAUUUUCCAUAAAUUUGUGUGAGAUAUAUUAUGUGUGUGGCAAAUGAAGUUGUUGUUGGUGUGUGUGUAUUAAUUUAAAAUAACAAUUCAUUUACUCUGUACACAAAGCACUAAGCAGCCAGCGGCCAAGGGAUUUAUGACCUUCAAACCUGCAACUCUUUUGAAGAAUUGUCCUUGGAAA